rnacentral:rRNA from 1 species
AACUCUAGAGAUAGAGCCUUUCCCUUCGGGGGACAAAGUGACAGGUGGUGCAUGGUUGUCGUCAGCUCGUGUCGUGAGAUGUUGGGUUAAGUCCCGCAACGAGCGCAACCCUUAAGCUUAGUUGCCAUCAUUAAGUUGGGCACUCUAAGUUGACUGCCGGUGACAAACCGGAGGAAGGUGGGGAUGACGUCAAAUCAUCAUGCCCCUUAUGAUUUGGGCUACACACGUGCUACAAUGGACAAUACAAAGGGCAGCGAAACCGCGAGGUCAAGCAAAUCCCAUAAAGUUGUUCUCAGUUCGGAUUGUAGUCUGCAACUCGACUACAUGAAGCUGGAAUCGCUAGUAAUCGUAGAUCAGCAUGCUACGGUGAAUACGUUCCCGGGUCUUGUACACACCGCCCGUCACACCACGAGAGUUUGUAACACCCGAAGCCGGUGGAGUAACCUUUUAGGAGCUAGCCGUCGAAGGUGGGACAAAUGAUUGGGGUGAAGUCGUAACAAGGUAGCCGUAUCGGAAGGUGCGGCUGGAUCACCUCCUUU